UAGGGUGAGUGUGUCAGGGUUAGUGUGUCAGGGAUAGUGUGUUAGUGUGUCAGGGUUAGUGUGUCAGGGAUAGUGUGAGUGUGUCAGAGAUAGUGUGAGUGUGUCAGGGAUAGGGUUAGUGUGUCAGGGAUAGGGUUAGUGUGUCAGAGAUAGUGUGUCAGGGAUAGUGUUAGUGUGUCAGAGAUAGUGUGUCAUAGAUAGUGUGUUAGUGUGUCAUAGAUAGGGUUAGUGUGUCAGGGAUAGGGUUAGUGUGUCAGGGAUAGGGUUAGUGUGUCAGGGAUAGUGUGUCAGGGAUAGUGUGUCAGUGUGUCAUAGAUAGUGUGUUAGUGUGUCAGGGAUAGGGUUAGUGUGUCAGGGAUAGGGUUAGUGUGUCAGGGAUAGGGUUAGUGUGUCAGGGAUAGGGAUAGUGUGUCAGGGAUAG